UACGUAGGGUGCAAGCGUUGUCCGGAAUUAUUGGGCGUAAAGAGCUCGUAGGCGGUCUGUCGCGUCGGAUGUGAAAACCCAGGGCUCAACCCUGGGCCUGCAUUCGAUACGGGCAGACUAGAGUUCGGUAGGGGAGACUGGAAUUCCUGGUGUAGCGGUGAAAUGCGCAGAUAUCAGGAGGAACACCGGUGGCGAAGGCGGGUCUCUGGGACGGUACUGACGCUGAGACGCGAAAGCGUGGGGAGCGAACAGG
rnacentral:rRNA from 1 species